rnacentral:lncRNA from 1 species
UUCAUAACAUUGCUCUAAGAAUUCAAUGAGAUAAAUCGGAACAAGAAGGGCAGGUUAUUAUAUCACAGGUAGGUUUCAGAUGGCUUUGCCUGUCAUUUUAAUUUUUCCUUCUCUCCAUUUGGAACAAUGUGAUUGGUAAAUGAAUAGGAUUACUUUCACUACUUACACGUGUUGGGGAGAGGGACCGUUAACAAACAUUUAUUGAGACUCUAAUACAUGCAAAGUUUGUAGAGGCAUGAGAAAGCGUAUAAAACGUACUCUCAACCACUUAACGAAUGCAAAUAACUACCUCCACUGUCAUCCUAUAAUUGAUAUGAAAGCUAGUUUGGAACUUUUGUACGCAGAAUGAUGGCCCCCAAGGAUAUCCAUGCCCUAAUCCCCAGAACCUGUGAAAACGUAAGGCGAUAUGGAAAAGGAGAAUUAAGGUUGCAGAUGGAAUUAAGGUUACUAACCAGCUGACAUUGAGAUGGGGAGAUUAUCCUGGAGUAUGUGAGUGGGCCCAGUGUAAUCAGAAGGGUCCUUGUAAGUGGAAGAGAGAAGGAGAAGAGGGAGAUCCAAGGAGAUGGCAGCAUAAGAAAGAGCCCAAUUCUGCUGGCUUUGGAGGUGGAAGAAUGGAGCCAGGGAACUGGGCAGCCUUGAGAAGCUAGAAAAAGGCAAGACAACGAAUUCCCUCCAGAGCCUCCAGGAGGGAUGGAGCUCUGCUGACACCUUGAUUUUAGCCCCGUGAAACCCAUUUUGGAUGUCUGAUCUAUAGAAUUUAAGACAAUAAAUUGGUGGUGUUUCAAGCCACUACAUUUUGGAUAAUUUGUUACAGAGGCCAUAGGAAACUAACAUAAGAAUUCAGUUGUUUUGUCUUUUUAUUUGGAAAGCCAGUCCUCUAUCUUGUACUUCUUUGCAAAUAAACCUCCUUUCUUUUCUAAAUGUUUUUGUCUCUGAGUCUUCCAGGACAGACAUCACAAAGAAUUCCCUACCAAUUAAUUAGUAGCCAGAAUAUGAGAUAUAUAUUCCAGAAAAACAGAACUUGGUUCCUUGUCAUGGCCUCACAGCAAUCCGGACCGUACAAGGCAGAGUGGGGGGCACUUUUAAAGCAAGUGAUACCAACUGAAUGGAAGGAGACUUCUUCAACCUGACGAAGGGCACCUAUGAAAAAGCCACAGCUAACAUCAAACUUAAUGGUGAAAGACUGAAGACCUUACCCUAACAUCAGGAACACUGGAAAAAAUUCUCACACUUGCCACCUGUAUUCAACAUUGUAGUAAAUGUUCUGGCCACAGCAAUUAGCAAUAAUAAUAAAGUCAUCCAGACUGCAAAGAAAAAAGAAAAACUCUUCACAGAUAAUAUAAUCACACAUAUUUUAAAAAUCUGAAGAAAUACAUGCACACAUAAUACUAGUACUAAUAAAGAGGGUUCAGCAAGCUUGCAGGAUAAAAAAUAUACAAAACCCAGUUGUAUUUCUAUACACUAGAAAUGCACACACAACCUAAAAAUAAAUUUAAAAAACAAUUUGAUUUACAAUGUCAGCAAAAAAAUAAAAUACUUACAAAAACAUUUAACAAAAGAAGUAUAAGACUUAUACAAUAAAAACAUAAAGCAUUGUUGAAAGACAUUUUAAAAAACCUAAAUAAGUGGAAGGAUAUUCUGUGUUCAUGUACUGGAAGACUUACUUUUAUUGUUAUUAAGAGUUUAAUACUUGCCAAAUUGAUCUACAGAUUUAACAUAAUCCGUGUCAAAAUCCCAGCUGGCUUUUUUGGAGAAAUUGAUAAGCUGAUGUUAAAAUUUAUAUGAGUAUGUAGGGAAUUCAAAAUAGCUAAAACCAAUCUUCAUAAAGAACAAAGCUAGAGAACCUACCAAUUUUAAAACUUAGUACAAAGUGACAGUAACCAAGGUACUGUAGUACUGUCAUAAAAACAGACAUGUACAUCACUGGAAUACAUUUGAGAAUCUAGAAAUAAACCCUUACACUUAUGGUCAACUGAUUUUUGACAAAGGGGCCAAGACAAUUCAAUGAGGAAAGAACAGUCUUUUCAACAAAUGGUGUUGGGGCACUUGGGCAUCCACAUGCAAAAUAAUGAAGUUGAACCACUACUUCACAUCGUACGUAAUAAUUAAAAUAAAUAAAAAACCUAAAUGUAAGAGCCAAAACUAUAUAACUCUUAGAAGAAAACACAGGUGUAAAUCUUUAUGACCUUAGAUUAGACAAUAGUUUUUUCGAUAUGACGCCAAAAGUAAAUGCAACCAAAGGAAAAAAGAAAUUGGACUACAUCAAAAUUAUGAACUUUCGUGUUUCUAAGAACACUAAAAAGAAAGUGAAAGGACAAUGGGUCUAAUAUCCAGAAUAUAUGAAGAAUUCUCACAACAACAUAAAGAAAAAUAAUCUAAUUUUAAAAUCAGCAAAGAAUGUGUACAGACAUUUCCACCAGAAAGACAGACAAAUGCCAAUAAGCACAUGAAAAGAUGCUCAACAUCAUUAGCCAUCAGGAAAAUGUAAAUAAAAAGCACAAUGGAAUACCACUUCAUACUUAGUAAGAUGGUGAUAAUAAAAAUUAAUAACAAAUGGUGGUGAAGAUACAGAGAAAUUGGAACUCUAUACUGCUAGUAGGAAAAUUAAAUGGUACAAAGUUAACCCUUUUUUCCUCCUCACCCCCACAUCCAGCCACCAAUAUUACAAAUUUUACCUGCAAAAUAUUUCUUUAAUCUGCAUUUGACUCUCCAAACUGAAUUAGACCUCUCAUCAGGAUUAGAGUAAGAACCUCUUAACUGGUCUCCUUCCCUCCAAGGGUGUCUUUCUCAAAUCCAUUCUCCAGAUAGCUGCUGCCAUGACCUUUCAAAACAUUCUCCUGCUCUACACGUUUCCAGGCUCCCCAUGACCUAUAGGAUGAAAUCAAGAUCCAACAGAAGUCCCAAGGCCCUCCAUGGCGAAGAGGACUUCUCCCAUCAUCCUGACUCCUCCUUCGUGCUGGCUCUUCUGUCAAUGAGAUUUUGCAUUUUCAUUUGAGAAACUUGGAUCUGCUUGUAGUUCCCCUGUUGUCAACCGUUAAUCACUCACUCACUGUCUCUCUCUCUCUCUCUCUCUCUCUCUCUCUCUCACACACACACACACACACACACACACACACACACACUGUUCUCUAUGUCACAGAGGUGAAAACAAGCAUCCAUCUCCUUCCCUCUCCAUAAUUUCCUGGAUCAUUCCUACUCAGCCCUUAAGCAGCCUCUCAAGGUUUACCACCUCGAGGUGGAAGGCCUUCCCAGGUCCUCUACAAAUGAACCACUCACAGGUGAAUUAAGGGUUUCCACUUUAUGCUUUUUAAUAGCUCAUACAUAUAUCAUUCAUCAUCAUGCUUACUAUAUUGUAUUUUAACACUCUGUGUCUCAUCUGCUAGUUUGAAAGUUCUGUAAGGGAAGAACUCAUGUCAUUCAUCAAAACUUCCUGCGCAGGGCCCGACAUAAGAAGGCACCCAAUAAGUGUCAUGCAGACUGAAGGAAUAAACCAUAACACUUAUGUGGCUAUAGGUAUCCUCAAAUUGACUAAACAAAGAAACAAGAAUUCACUGGUUAAGGCAAUGAGCAAGUCCAAAUAAGCCUCAGGCCCAGCUAGGUCCAGGUGCUUAAAAAUACCACGAGGAAGCAUUUUAUAGUUAUUCUGAGGCUCAGAAAAAUAUUUUUUUCUUAGUAUUUGAGCAAGCACUCUAAACCUGGGCCAAACUGACUUGCCCUUCCCAGAACCGAUCACCAAAGCUCUGGUUAAAAGGCCUGGGUUGCGUGCCCACUUCUGAAGCUAAGGGCUAAGGUCAGUCUCACUCAAAUAUCACAUAGGCAAGAAUAGGGGAAGGGUGGUUAACAGAAGGAAAAUAGAGAUUUUCUUACCAGAAGAAGGUAGAUGAAGGCUAGACAGGCAGCAACAAUAGUUGUCUACCACAGAAUCUCUUAGGUUUUCUAUAUUGUAUUUGUGCUCCUCUCGUUCUCUCGAUCAGCUUAUCAGCAUUUUAGGACAACGCUUGCUCUUUCUUUGUAGUUACCUACAGAUUCCUGCAAGCUGUUCUAAGCACGGUGGCCACCCACUGCAAGUAGUUGAGUAGCUGAUGGGCAAGUCAUCAUUGACAGCCCCAGCAGCACCUGGCCAGGUCUCUCAGCCCAUGUGCAAGGCAAGCAUCACCGAGCAGGUGUAGGCUCUGGCUGGGAAAUGUUGUUUUGCGGAGAGCUGAGUAUUUAUUUGGAUUGAUGACUCUCAGCGUUGCCAGAUUUCAAAUUUAAAUCAAAUAUUUAUUGGUGAUAGGUGGCAAGGAAAACAGUAUACUUUGGGGGUAAUUAUUAAUGUAGGCCAGCUCAUCUGUUAUUGGAACAGCUGAAUUUCAAUCCCAUAAACUGGGAACCCAAGCAAGAAUAAUCAUGUUAAUAUGUCCUCACACUUACAUAGUGCAUUAGCAUUUACAACAUUUUCCCAUAUGUUAUUCGUUUUGGCUUUAAAUCACACACCUGUGCAAGGUGAGAUUUGUAAUUCCCAUUUUACAGAUGAGAAAUACGAGACUCCAGGUGUCAAGUGGUUUCUCUACAAGUGGCAAAGCAGGGCUAGAACCCACAUUGCUGAUAUCCAAGGCAUGACUGUUGCCAAGAUAUCACUCACCCCCUUUCCUUACAGCACACCUAAAUCACAGAAAUACUUCAUGCACUUCACAUGUAUGUCUGACCUUCGUGAACUCUUCAGUGUCAACUUAGUUGAGGUCUUUUCAAGUUAGCAUGCCAUUUCAUGAACAUAAUCUUAUUUUAUUUUGAAGACCACCUAUGAGAUAGAUAUUACCCCU